UUUACAAAAUUUAUAUGAACAUGAUAAACGCCAAUACAUUUAGUUGGUGCAAAAAGCGCUAUUUCAAAUAGCUUUAGUCUGCCGCUCAUGUAUUGACUAUGAGCAAAUGAUAAAGAAACUCACCAAAGUUAUAGAGGUACCAGACUUAUCAUUUUAAUUAUUAUGAUGAUUUUCAAUCCUCAUUAUUGUACUUCUUAUUGAAAUAGAUAAACUAGCGUAUAUCGGAC
rnacentral:lncRNA from 1 species